rnacentral:lncRNA from 1 species
GGGGUUCCUGGUCGUCGCCACGUCGGCUUGCCUUUCUUGCCCUCUUUCUUCUCCAGCCUCAAGGGCUCUGUAAUGUGUACUUAGUUAAUGGUAUGAGAGGGGAAUUUUUCAUUACCUCUUUUACUCGCGUGUUGAGUUAUCAUUUGUCGAGCUUCUCUCGACUUUUGCCUUGCUUGAUAUCGGUGUCAUUCGAAGGUACCCGAUCGCCGUCG